GUGUUGUUUUUGACAAAUAUAUUGCAUUUGCUAUAUACAUAUCUUACAUAUAUAGGUCUAGCAAAACAAUUAUAUACAUAUUGUUUUAUACAACUGAUUUUUAAAUUAGUUAAGAAAGGAGAAUAAAUAUACAUUUAUACUAAUUUUUCUAAGUACAUAAUUAUGUUUACCCAGGAUCUUUGUUUUUUUCAUUUGGAUUCAAAGUAUGUUCUGGUAUAACUUGCUUUCAGCUUGGAGAACUUUUAGAAAUAUUUUUUAUAAGGUGGGUCUGCUAGCAACAGUUCUCUCAGUUUUUGUUUACUUGGGAGCAUCUCUACUUUACCUUUCUUUUUGAAAGAUAAUUCUGCUGGAUAUACAAUUCUUCGUCAACAGGAUUUUCCCCCCUUUCUGCACUUUCAAUGUAUCAUCCCACUCCCUUUUGGCCUCCAUGCUUCCUGAUGAGAAACCAUCUGUUAUUCUUAGCGUGGUUCCCUAGUACAUGAGUCGUUUUUCUCUUGCAGGUUUAAAGAUUUUUCUCUUUGCCUUUGAAAUUUUUACUAUGAUGUGUCUGAUUAUAGAUCUUUUUGCAUUUGUCCUACUUAAAAUUCACUGAGCUUCCUCAAUAAUUUUUUUGAGUAUUUUUCUACUCCUUUUCCUGAUACUUUCAUUAUGCCUAUCUUGGUGCCUUUAACGGUGUCACACAUUUCUGAGGCUAUGUUCACUGUUCUUCAUUCUUUUUUCUCUCUGAUCUUCAGAUUGCAUAAUUUCUAUUCAUUUAUCUUCAAGUACUGAUCCUUUUUUUCUGUCAUCUUCACUCUAUGGUUGAGCUCUCCUAGUAAAUUUUUCAUUUAUUUAUUUUAUUUUCAACUCCGUAAUUUCCAUUUGUUUGGUUUCGUUUUUGUAACUUCUUGUUACUGAUAUAUUCCAUUUGGUGAGACAUUGUCAUUACAUGUUCCUUUACUUUCUUAAGCUUGAUUUCUUUUCCUUUAAUUCUUUGAACAUAUUUUUAUUGGCUGUUUUAAAAUCUUUGCUAAAUCUGGCAUCUAGGCCCUCUCAAAGAUAGUUUCUGUUGAGUUGGGUCACACCUUCCUGUUUCUUUGUAUAGCUUGUAAUUUUUUGUUGUUGAAAACUGGACAUUUUAGAUAAUAAACUGUAAUAACCUUAGAUACAAAUAUGCUCCUCCCCAGGCUUAUAGUUGUUUACUGUGAUGGCUGAACUAUUUUAGUAAAGUAUAUUUCAUGGGUGUGCACACAGCAACCCUGGGAUGACAGUUUUAUGAGGGCUCUCUUUUUCUCUUUUCCUGAUCUUUGUGUUAAACUAUCUGUUUUGAUUAGUAUCACAAGAUGCUGUUAGCCUCUGCUAAUUGCAGGUUGAUUGCUCUAUUGUUUUCAACAGUGUUUGGGGGCAUAAAUUGUUUUACUACCUUGAUCCAAUAACUUUGAAUGGGUAAUCUUUGCAUGAGUAAUUUUUGCAGCCAGACUUUGAGGUUUGUUCCCAACCCAGGAGGGCUCUUCUUAGCUGUCCCAUUCCUGAGUUCUCAGGUAAACUUCUGGCUGGUCUGUGGUGUAGCUUAUUGCUUUCCUGGAGCUACCAGCCUCCUUUUAAUUGCUUACCACCACAAUCUCCACUAUUUUCAAGAGUACCCUCAGGCUUAAACUUCCCAACAUUCUGGUCCAAAUAAAGUCAGUUCACUUGGGGAGAGCGUUUGUGUUCUCUGUUCUUACUUUCUGCUUCUCCCCUUAGGCAAAACCUCUGGGCCACUGCUCCAGAGCUGGGGGCAAGAGAGUGGCCUGUUUCUCUUGGAGCGAUGCUUCGUGACUGAGCACAGUGCUGGGCUGGGGCAGCAGCAGCCUGUUUUCUUCAGCUUGCCUAUACAAAUGCAGAACCUUUUCACCAUCAGCAAGUUGGGAGGAGGACAGACGGGGCUUUGGUACUCUCAGGCUGCUGUACCUGGGGUAGAAAUGCCCACUUAUGAGUGGAAGCUGAGUGGAGGAAAGCAGCCCCAGAGUUUUCAGCUCCUCUUACCUGGAAUCAAACCUCUGCAACAUGGGACUUGAGGUGGAUGGGAGGUGAGAGAAGCUGGCAUGCCUGCCCCUCCCAGUGAGGUACCGUAUUCCUUGACUGGGAGCUCAGAGGGAGCGGGAGCCAUGUGUUCUUGGUGACACCUACACGAAGUGGAUCUUCCCUCACUUGGAGCUUCAGGGAGGGGAAGGCAGUUGGGGCAGAGGAGCGGGUUGUGGCUCAAAUGUCAGACAUUCUCACUAUUCUUAGUAAAAUGUAGUAGAUUUUCUUGAAUAAAUGUUUCUUCAUUUGAUGUAUGUCCUGCACAUUUUCCAGAGACUUUAAACAGUGAGUGUUCGGGGUUUUUUGAAAUAAUAUUCACCAGUUAUGGCUGUUUUACUGGAGAGAAGCUCUGCAGAAUCCCUCAUGCCCUCAUUCAAAAGUUGUCUCAAUCUCAUUUAUUUUUAACAUAUCAUUGCUCCUAAAUUAUACACCACCCCAAAAUAAUGUAGUUUUGGAAAUCACUAAAGGUAGUUGCAAGAUUACAUAUUAUGAGAAAAACGUUUGAAUAAAUAAAAAUGCUGGUACUCUUGCACUGCAUUUAAGCUUAGACAUUUAUCCCAUGCCUUUUUAGCUUAAAUAAGAGAAAUUUCACUUGGUCCAGGCACAUGUGGGGGUCAUUUUGGUGAUCUUGGUCUGAUCUAAGACAGGUCUAGAAUAUUUUUGAGUUCCUUAUUUUCAUUUCUGCAUAGUCAUCCAGUACCUUCUGUGAAAACUGUACUUAUUAGGAACAGUGAGUUCAAUGAUUAGGCAUUGCUACUAUCCUCAUCAGGGCCACGCUGUAUGGUUGUGCCCUGUACAAGGGCUCCAGCUGAGGGGUGAAUGGGGGUCUGAAAUCCAGCCCAUACUCUGUUCAUCAUGGUGCAGAACUGUGUUAAUCCAGAGAUGGGUACACCUUCAUUCUAGUUCACACACAGGUAUCUUGUGGGCUUGCAAACAUCCUGACUUUCAAGGAUUUUUCUGUGCCUGGGGGAAACAGAGACCAAACAAGGCUUGUUCUUGGACUUUGAAGGAAGUGACAUCAUAUCAACCUUGACAGCAAAAUCUCUUUACCGCAGUAUGUGAUGAUACUUUGCUGUGAAAGAAAGUUGACCUUCACUAGUUAAAUACCUGUUUAAAAGACUGAGAGCAGUGUUCAUAGCAGUAUUAUUCACAAUAACCAAAAUGCGGAAACAACCAAAGUGUCCAUCAACAAAUGAAGGGAU
rnacentral:lncRNA from 1 species